rnacentral:rRNA from 1 species
UUGGAGGCUUGUUUGAAUGGUUUGACAGAGUAAUUUUAAAUAUUUGAUCUUUGUUGAAAUUAAUUUAUAGGUUCAGAAUCCUAUAUUAAUAAGACGGAAAGACCCCGGGAUCUUUAAUUUGCCUGGGGCAGGUGUUAAUUAUUCAUUAAUAUUUUGUUCCUUUUUGGGUAGUGUUUAAGUUACCCCGGGGAUAACAGUGUGAUAGUUAAGUAGAGAUCUUAUCGAAUUAAUUGUUUGCCACCUCGAUGUUGACUUAGGUUUGCUUGGGCGCAAUAGUCUAAGUGUUAGGUCUGUUCGACCUUUAAACCUCCAUGAGUUGAGUUAAGACCGGCGUGAGCCAGGUCGGUUCUUAUCUAUUGGUGAAGCUUACUAGUACGAAAGGACCGUAAGUUUUUUUAUUGAGUAUGAAGUUUGACUCUAGUCCUGCAAAGACUAGUGAGAAAUAGUUUCCAUACUUUGUGUGUUUAACUAUGGCAAUAGGAAGUUUGUUGUGCUAGUUGCAUAGGAAGUUUUUAUGGUUUGUAAGAUUAGUUUUAGCUUGCUUACUAGCAGUUAGUUUUUUAUUAGGGUGUGAGCCCUUUAAGAGCAUGGCAUAAAGGGGAGAGGACACAGUGCCAGCAUCUGCGGUUAAUCUGUUUUCUUUGCUUUUUGAUGGAUUUUAGUUAAAUGUUAAUAUUAAGACUAGGUGAAAUUUUCUUAUGAGUAAAUUUGAUAUUUAGCUUGUGAUAAAUAAUUGUUAAUGACAGGGAUUAGAUACCCCAUUAAUUGAUUAGAUUAAUUUAUCUUAGUCAACUAAAAUA